AGAGUUUGAUCCUGGCUCAGGACGAACGCUGGCGGCGUGCUUAACACAUGCAAGUCGAACGGUAAGGCCCUUCGGGGUACACGAGUGGCGAACGGGUGAGUAACACGUGGGUAAUCUGCCCUGCACAUCGGGAUAAGCCUGGGAAACUGGGUCUAAUACCGAAUAGGACCACAGGACACAUGUCCUGUGGUGGAAAGCUUUUGCGGUGUGGGAUGGGCCCGCGGCCUAUCAGCUUGUUGGUGGGGUGAUGGCCUACCAAGGCGACGACGGGUAGCCGGCCUGAGAGGGCGUCCGGCCACACUGGGACUGAGAUACGGCCCAGACUCCUACGGGAGGCAGCAGUGGGGAAUAUUGCACAAUGGGCGAAAGCCUGAUGCAGCGACGCCGCGUGGGGGAUGACGGCCUUCGGGUUGUAAACCUCUUUCACCAUCGACGAAGGUCCGGGUUUUCUCGGGCUGACGGUAGGUGGAGAAGAAGCACCGGCCAACUACGUGCCAGCAGCCGCGGUAAUACGUAGGGUGCGAGCGUUGUCCGGAAUUACUGGGCGUAAAGAGCUCGUAGGUGGUUUGUCGCGUUGUUCGUGAAAUCUCACGGCUUAACUGUGAGCGUGCGGGCGAUACGGGCAGACUUGAGUACUGCAGGGGAGACUGGAAUUCCUGGUGUAGCGGUGGAAUGCGCAGAUAUCAGGAGGAACACCGGUGGCGAAGGCGGGUCUCUGGGCAGUAACUGACGCUGAGGAGCGAAAGCGUGGGGAGCGAACAGGAUUAGAUACCCUGGUAGUCC
rnacentral:rRNA from 1 species